UAGAGUUUGAUCCUGGCUCAGAUUGAACGCUGGCGGCAUGCCUAACACAUGCAAGUCGAACGGUAACAGGUCUUCGGAUGCUGACGAGUGGCGGACGGGUGAGUAAUGCGUAGGAAUCUGUCUUUUAGUGGGGGACAACCCAGGGAAACUUGGGCUAAUACCGCAUGAGCCCUGAGGGGGAAAGCGGGGGAUCUUCGGACCUCGCGCUAAGAGAGGAGCCUACGUCCGAUUAGCUAGUUGGCGGGGUAAAGGCCCACCAAGGCGACGAUCGGUAGCUGGUCUGAGAGGACGACCAGCCACACUGGGACUGAGACACGGCCCAGACUCCUACGGGAGGCAGCAGUGGGGAAUUUUUCGCAAUGGGGGCAACCCUGACGAAGCAAUGCCGCGUGGAUGAAGAAGGCCUUCGGGUUGUAAAGUCCUUUCGUGGAGGACGAAAAGGCGGGUUCUAAUACAAUCUGCUAUGACGUAAUCCAAGAGAAGCCCG
rnacentral:rRNA from 1 species